rnacentral:rRNA from 1 species
CGAAGGCGGCCCCCUGGACAGAUACUGACACUCAGAUGCGAAAGCGUGGGGAGCAAACAGGAUUAGAUACCCUGGUAGUCCACGCCGUAAACGAUGUCUACUUGGAGGUUGUGGCCUUGAGCCGUGGCUUUCGGAGCUAACGCGUUAAGUAGACCGCCUGGGGAGUACGGUCGCAAGAUUAAAACUCAAAUGAAUUGACGGGGGCCCGCACAAGCGGUGGAGCAUGUGGUUUAAUUCGAUGCAACGCGAAGAACCUUACCUACUCUU